CUGUUCUGUCUCGUAGGUGACCUGCGGAGGGAUCAUUACACAAAUAUGAAGGCGGGCUGGAACCUCUCGGGGUUACAGCCUUGCUGAAUUAUUCACCCUUGUCUUUUGCGUACUUCUUGUUUCCUUGGUGGGUUCGCCCACCACUAGGACAAACAUAAACCUUUUGUAAUUGCAAUCAGCGUCAGUAACAAAUUAAUAAUUACAACUUUCAACAACGGAUCUCUUGGUUCUGGCAUCGAUGAAGAACGCAGCGAAAUGCGAUAAGUAGUGUGAAUUGCAGAAUUCAGUGAAUCAUCGAAUCUUUGAACGCACAUUGCGCCCUUUGGUAUUCCAAAGGGCAUGCCUGUUCGAGCGUCAUUUGUACCCUCAAGCUUUGCUUGGUGUUGGGCGUCUUGUCUCUAGCUUUGCUGGAGACUCGCCUUAAAGUAAUUGGCAGCCGGCCUACUGGUUUCGGAGCGCAGCACAAGUCGCACUCUCUAUCAGCAAAGGUCUAGCAUCCAUUAAGCCUUUUUUUCAACUUUUGACCUCGGAUCAGGUAGGGAUACCCGCUGAACUUAAGCAUAUCAAUAGGCGGGGAGGA
rnacentral:rRNA from 1 species